CUGAACCAGCAACUUGGAAGAAGGUAUAGCAAUAGCUAAUUGUAUUAGCAAAUAGUUUUUACAAUAUCGAUUUAAUCGACUAAAAUUCUAGGUAGAUUUAUGAUGAUGACAUUAUCUAUCUAUGUGUCUUGACCAAAUUUCGUGCCAGCAGUCGCGGUAAGACGUAAGAGACUAGUGUUAUUCAUCUUUAAUAGGUUUAAAGCGUACCUAGACGGUAAUUAAAGCCUAUAUCAGGAACUUGUUUACUAGAGUUAAAUGUAAGGGUGUAUUAAAGUACUGUUGAGUGUAGAGAUGAAAUUCGUUGAUACCAAAUAAUUGGCACAGGUAUAGGCGAAAGCAUCACUUUAUGUAAUAACUGACGUUGACGGACGAAGGCUUUGUGUCGCGAACAGGAUUAGAUACCCCAGUAGUCUUAGCAGAAAACUAUGAGUGUCAUAGGUUAGAUUUUAUUUGGUCUAUAAAUGAAAGUGUAAGCACUCCACCUCAAGAGUAAUUUGGCAACAUUGGAACUGAAAUCAUUAGACCGUUUCUGAAACCAGUAGUGAAGUAUGUUGUUUAAUUUGAUAAUCCGCAAAGAACCUUACCACAAUUUGAAUAUAAAUGAUUUAUUUUUACAAGCGUUGCACGGCUGUCUUCAGUUAAUGUCGUGAGAUAUUGGUUUAUUCCAUUAAAUUAACGUAAACCCGUACUUUAUUUUUAUAUAAAGUUGUUCAUUCGCUAUAAUGGAUGUGAUAACAGGGACUAAGACAAGUCAUCAUGGCCUAAAUAUUGUGG
rnacentral:rRNA from 1 species